rnacentral:rRNA from 1 species
CAGUCGCCACGGUAAUACGUAGGGUGCGAGCGUUAAUCGGAAUUACUGGGCGUAAAGCGUGCGCAGGCGGUUAUGUAAGACAGGUGUGAAGUCCCCGGGCUUAACCUGGGAACUGCGCUUGUGACUGCACAGCUAGAGUAUGGCAGAGGGGGGUGGAAUUCCACGUGUAGCAGUGAAAUGCGUAGAUCUCGAGAGGAACACCAAUGGCGAAGGCAGCUUCUUGGUCCAUUCCUGACGUUCAUACGCGAAAGCGUGGGGAGCAAACAGGAUUAGAUACCCCCGUAGUCCCUGUCUCUUAUAC